GAUAGAGGUCAGGGUUAAAGCUCGGGGCUCCACUUUGGGAGAGAUGAUGCGGUGUUUCGUGCUGCUGCAUUUGUGGGUAAGGCUCCCAGAACCUGGAGUGGAGAGGAGUAGGAGGGAGAGGAGAUAAGACACAUCAUUCCGCACCUUCUCUACCUUGAGGCCCUUAAAAGUAUUUCCUGGGACGUCCCUAUAAACCAGAGGUGUAAUACUGAUUGUAGCCACUGGGAGGCAUCAGAAAUGUCUGUUCUCUACCCCUACCCUUUAUUCCCCCUCCCCCUCUCCAUUUCCCCUCAAAACAAGCAGGACCAGAGGAACGCUCCAGAGAACUGAGGGCUUGGGAGAGUAGCUAAAAGCAAAAGUUAAAGGCAUAGGAAAAGGACAAAAGAACAGAACCAAGGGGGUGCCAACUAGGAGGAAGGCUAAGGCUGGGUGUCACUGGUGGUGCUGAGGGGACAGGAAUUGCUGAAGGUAGAAGACAGGAAGGGCAGAGGCUGCCAUGACAGCUGAGUGCAAGGCUGAUUCCGAGCCAGUGUGCACCCAGAUGGGAACGUCUGUUCAUCUGGCCCAUCUUUCUGGGACAUGCAAAAGACUUGCAAAUCAGCAUGCAAAUCCCAUCAAGAUGGAUAUCCCCCUGGCUUGCGUAAGAGCAGUGUGGCUAGGUGGGAAGACAGCCAAAAGGUCAGGGAGUAACUUACCAAGCCCCCCACUGCAGAGACAGGCGUGGGUUCGGGGAGCAGGCUUGGUUGGGUGGGUGUCCAAAAUCUGCUGCACCAGGUGUUCUACAGAGAACUCUUCUGUUCCAUUCCCGCAGCUCCACUUGAUGCCAUGAACUAGAGAAGUUAGGGGGAAGUGCUGUGGGAUCCCCACGAAACAGGCCCCAGAGUACCUUGAUGGCUCCUCCAAGCACCUGACAUGCUUCAAGACUUCUGGCCAGGUGAACAGAGGCCAGCAGCCUCAAGACUGCUCAGAUAUGUUGCUUUAGUCCUUUCUCCGUAUUCUAAUACCUGAGAACACACCGGGAAUCCUAGCACCCUCCCAGCUUGGAGGGAGAUGAUCAGCCCUCAGGCUUUGGGUCCAGAACCAUGGCCCCUCUGGGAGCCCUGUUUCUACUCUCCCCUUGGAGCUCUAUCCCCACCCUGCUGCCUUACACAUGGGCUUCAGCUGUCCCAACAACUCCUCCCGGGACCACUUCAGCCACUCUCGACGGUCGCUGCUGAUGGAACAAAAGAUGGGGCUGCAGCCCUUUCCACAGUCCUCCAGGGCUGGGACGUUCAGGUAGUGCACAAGGACGAUGUCAGGGUUCUGAGAGUAUAAGGGGACACACAGAGCCAUGGGGUCCUGAGGUCCAGGGGCUUGGCUUCCUAAUCCUCACUUUCUUCCUGGGCACCCUCCUAACCUCGCCCCCAAUUUCUGACUCUCUCCAUCCCCAAGCCCCUUUCUCUUCUUCCCAGGCUCCUUUCCUCACUCAGAACUCAGCCAUCCUUUCACUUCCUUCUUUCAGACCCGUGUCCCUCAAAGAGUCAGGAAGAGGGUGGCUCCCUGGGCUCUUCCGUCCUUACCUGGAGCAGCCAGUAGCAGCGCCGAUGGAAUGUGGGGACGAUGGAAGAGUGAACGUAGCAGCCAUAGAGACACUGCCAGGAGACAGGCUGGGGUGGGGGGAGGGCUAGUCUGCUCCCCAACUCUUCCUCUGUUCAGUCCCUUUGCAGGAAUCCCAAUCUUUCCACCAGUUCCUCUUCAACCCUUCCCCCACCCUCGCCCCCACCUAUUCCCCACCCCUUUUGAAUCCCAGCCACCCUGAGUCAUAGAUGAGCAGUGGGGCUGGGGCCUUAUAGUGAGGACCAGAUUUGAGAUACGGGACUAUCUAGAAACCAGAGGGCAGAGCAAGAAUGCAUCUGAGAUGAGGGGCAAUGAUUUGGGGAAGAGAAACCUGUGCUGAGAGCAUCAUUGCUGGGAUCCCUGAGGGAAACACAAGAGCAGUGAGGGGCCUGGGCAUCAGUGUUCUGGAAGGGAGGCAUGGCCUACGGCCUGGAUAGUUGAGUCACGGAGGGAAAUGGGAAGUGGAGAGUGGCCAAAGCAAUGUCAGCCGACCCAAAGUGAGUGAGAAGGGAAGAGUAACUGGGAGGGGACUGAGGUGGACAAUGCCACCAAGCCCAGGUCGGGCUAGAGCCCAGCUAAGGGUGGAGGAGGGCAGGCUCGGGAAGAUGAGCUGAAUAUCUGACUCUCUUACCUCCAUGCCCUGGACCUUCAGCUUCAUGUGGUCCUCUCGGGUGGUCUUCCCAUCCUUCCGCUUCUUCCAGAGGUAACCAUCCUUCCGAUAUUUCACCUUCUUGCGAUUGUAGAGGAUGAUGGAGCCAUUCUGAGGCCUGGGAAGGGAAGGGUUGCCCUGGAGUUCUGUGAACAGAACCCAGGACCCCUGCCACUCCCCCAUGU
rnacentral:lncRNA from 10 species